AUGGCUCAGGAUGAACGCUGGCGGCGUGCCUAAUACAUGCAAGUCGAACGAGGUAGCAAUACCGAGUGGCGAACGGGUGAGUAACACGUAGGUAACCUGCCCUUAAGCUUGGGAUACCCAGAGGAAACUUGGCUAAUACCGGAUAACAACAGAGAAGGCAUCUUCUUUGCCUGAAAGGCCCCUUCAAGGGUCACUUAAGGAUGGACCUGCGGCGCAUUAGCUAGUUGGUGAGAUAACAGCCCACCAAGGCGAGGAUGCGUAGCCGAACUGAGAGGUUGAUCGGCCACAUUGGAACUGAGACACGGUCCAAACUCCUACGGGAGGCAGCAGUAAGGAGUUUUCGGCAAUGGGGGAAACCCUGACCGAGCAACGCCGCGUGAGCGAUGACGGUCCUUUGGAAUUGUAAAGCUCUGUUGUAAGCCAUGAAUGACAGCUUGAGGAAAUGCAAGUUGUUUGACGACAGCUUACCAGAAAGCCACGGCUAACUACGUGCCAGCCGCUGC
rnacentral:rRNA from 1 species